rnacentral:tRNA from 2 species
GGCGAGAUGGCCGAGCGGUCUAAGGCGCUAGAAUCAGGACUUCACGAGUUCUAAUCUAGUCUUUCGGGGCGGGGGUUCGAAUCCCCCUCUCGUCA